GUGUUGGUGAAAUCUCCAUAAUCAGGAUACUCAUGACCUGAGGGCUUAUGAUUUUUGCUAUGGUUCAUACCUAGCCUCCUGCUCCUCACUUUACUGUGCACAUUAUCUGAAGGCCAGUAGUACUUGUCAGUAUUAUAUACUUGUUAAAAAGCAUUUGCACUAGGUAUCAUUCUUUUUCUUGAAGUUUUCCUCAGUUGAUCAAUUUUUACAGUGUCCUGUGAUCAGAACGGAGGAUCUACUUCUGAAAUAAUUAUUCCUACCACUUAGUUGGUGACUCUGAAAGACUCAAAGAGAAUUUGUUUACUGAAAUUUAUGAUGUGGCAUCAUUGUGGAUCCUAGCCAGCCAGUAGCGGUACAACAAGGCUGAAAAUCGUGUUAGCUGUAUUUAGGACAGAAACAUAAACUAUUCCAGCUAAAAGGAAGCUUGCCCUUGAGUCACAGAAGGCACAAGCAUAGCAUAUGCUGAGAUGGAAACAUGGACAUGUCAAAUUGGGACUUUCACCUCUUCCAUAAAAAUGUGCCAGCAUUCUAGGGAAGCAUAUUGAAACACAAACACAGGAAUCUUCGUUCCAGAAAACUAUGUGUGUGAUCAAAGAGAAUAUGAUGAGAGAUUAAUGGAAAGAAUGAGUUAUUAGUAAGUGAGUGGAGAGAAAAAGAGUAAAGAAAGUUUUUGGACUUGAGUUGUACAAAGCAAACCAGUUCUCUACUGGAAUGGUGUUAUAAGAGAGUGUGUAGCUACUUUGUAACAUUAUCUACUUUCAUUGGUACUCUACUGGGUUGGAAAUGCUGAAGAAUGUGGACCUAUUAAGGUUAAGUCUUAGUCAUUCCCCAUGAUAAAGCAACUGAACAAGAAACACAGAUUUCAAGCAAGUCAUUUCAAGAAGAGGCUAUUAGACAGCAGUGCAGCAAAUAAUUAAGUGAAACAGUAUUGGAAUGCCCAAGAAAAAGAAGUUUGAAGAUGGAAAUUGAGGUGAUCAUGUUGAAAGAAAGAUAUAUUUGCAACUAACUUGAGUAUGUAUGAAAUAAUCUGGAACAGCUUCCUGUGGAGUACUUUUAAUUUGUGGAUCUGCAUUGAAAGUAAUAGGUAUGAUAGAUCCAAAAGGGCCACUUCUCAUCUUUGUUUGCUGAAUGACCUGUUACAAUAAUUUUUCAUCCAAAUAUUCUUCACUCCGAUCUCUCUCUGGAAUAUCCAUUUGGCGGUGAUGACUGAAAAGAAGCUAUCCCACCAGUUUCAGCAGAAACAUUUGGUCUUCAAAAUGCAAAAUGACUGUUGCCUUAAUAUGAGUUGUGGUGGAAACUCCUUGCAGAUCAGAAAAACUGGACUUUUUUGACAAGUGACCGAAGAGAUUUCAUUGAAGAGAAUAUUCACUAGACCUAAUUAUUGCUCUCAUUAUUACUGUUGCCCUGAAUCAAAAGACUUGGAAAGUCAGGACAUUAUUGCUCAGAGAAGCUCUGGAUGGUGGAAUUACAAGGGCUUCAUAUGAGUGCUUCCAUAAGUAUGAAGUGCAUGUGUUUAUAAUUAUCAGUUACCACAGAGUGAACUCAAAGGAGAUAGAAUUUUAUGGAAUGUAGUAUUUUUACACCUUAUAAGUAUUUGCAUUCUUUCUAAUGAUAUCUACUAUUGUUGAGUUUUUUGCAUAUCAACAGGGAGUUUAUUUAUUUUUUAUUUAGUAAAUAUAAAUUUCCCAAGUACAGUUCAUGGAUUACAAUGGCUUCCCCCCCCCCAUAAUUUCCCUCCCACCCUCACCCCCCCAUUUCCCGCCCCUCUCCCAUUCCAUUCACAUCAAGAUUCAUUUUCAAUUAUCUUUAUAUAUAGAAGAUCGAUUCAGUAUAUACUAAGUAAAGAUUUCAUCAGUUUGCACCCACACAGAAACACAAAAUGUAAAAUACUGUUUCAGUACUAGUUAUAGCAUUACUUCACACUGGACAAUCCAUUAAGGAAAGAUCCCACAUGAGAAGUAAGUACACAGUGACUCCUGUUGUUGACUUAAUAAUUUGACACUCUGUUUAUGGCAUCAGUAAUCUCCCUAGGCUCUAGUCAUGAAUUGCCAAGGCUAUGGAAGCCUUUUGAGUUCGCCGACUUCGAUCUUAUUCAGACAGGGUCAUAGCCAAAGUGGAAGUUCUCUCCUCCCUUCAGAGAAAGGUACCUCCAUCUUUGAUAGCCCUGUUCUUUCCACUGGGAUCUCACUCACAGAGACCUUUCAUUUAGGUCUUCUUUUUUUUUUUCCAGAGUGUCUUGGCUUUCCAUGCCUAAAAUACUCUCAAGGGGUUUUCAGCCAGAUCUGAAUGCCUUAAGGGCUGAUUCUGAGGCCAGAGUGCUGUUUAGGACAUCUGCCAUUCUAUGAGUCUGCUGUGUAUCCCGCUUCCCAUGUUGGAUCGUUCUCUCCCUUUUUGAUUCUAUCAGUUAGUAUUAGCAGACACUAGUCUUGUUUGUGUGAUCCCUUUGACUCUUAGACCUAUCAGUGUGAUCAAUUAUGAACUGAAAUUGAUUACUUGGACUAGUGAGAUGGCAUUGGUACAUGCCAUCUUGAUGGGAUUGUAUUGGAAUCACCUGGCACAGGAGUUAGAAAUGUGCCAGGGGAGUUUAAUUUUUUUCCAUGAGCUUCUAUGUAGUGAGCAGUCUCAAUUUUAGUUUGUUGCAAUUUCCAGGGCUAAACAUAUACAACAUCUAUAUUUGAGUGGUUUUCCACUAAUUGGAGAAAGUCUUACCAGAGUUUGGAUGAUAAUUCCUCAUUUCCUAAAAUUGCAUGUGUGUGUAUGUGUGUGUGUAUAUAUUAGAUAUCAAUAUUUUAAUAAUAAUGCUUCAUAAGAAUUUUCUUGUCAUGUAAAUGUUGAAUGAGGUCAUCUUCAUAUAGCCUUAGUCUCUUUGUUGUGAAUUGUAAGGGUUCAUUUAUGCUCAAGUAUGUUAACAUUUUGACAUUCAUUACAAAUGAAAUAACAUGCUUUUCCCUUUUAAUGUAGUGUUACUUUUGUUUGAUGGAAUUUAUGUACUGAAAAUACAACCAUGUUUCUGUUAUGGUC